UUCCGGUUGAUCCUGCCGGACCCGACUGCUAUCAGAGUGGGACUAAGCCAUGCGAGUCAACAUAGCAAUAUGUGGCAUACGGCUCAGUAACACGUAGUCAACAUGCCCAGGGGACGUGGAUAACCUCGGGAAACUGAGGAUAAACCGCGAUAAGUCACUACUUCUGGAAUGGGUAAUGACUCAAACCUAUAUGGCCCCUGGAUUGGACUGCGGCCGAUCAGGCUGUUGGUGAGGUAAUGGCCCACCAAACCUGUAACCGGUACGGGCUCUGAGAGGAGGAGCCCGGAGAUGGGCACUGAGACAAGGGCCCAGGCCCUAUGGGGCGCAGCAGGCGCGAAACCUCUGCAAUAGGCGAAAGCCUGACAGGGUUACUCUGAGUGACUUUCGCUAAGAAAGUCUUUUGGCACCUCUAAAAAGGGUGCAGAAUAAGGGGUGGGCAAGUCUGGUGUCAGCCGCCGCGGUAAUACCAGCACCCCGAGUGGUCGGGACGAUUAUUGGGCCUAAAGCAUCCGUAGCCGGUUCUGCAAGUCCUCCGUUAAAUCCAGCUGCUCAACAGAUGGGCCGCGGAGGAUACUACAGAGCUAGGAGGCAGGAGAGGCAAGCGGUACUCAGUGGGUAGGGGUAAAAUCCGUUGAUCCAUUGAAGACCACCAGUGGCGAAGGCGGCUUGCCAGAAUGCGCUCGACGGUGAGGGAUGAAAGCUGGGGGAGCAAACCGGAUUAGAUACCCGGGUAGUCCCAG
rnacentral:rRNA from 1 species